rnacentral:rRNA from 1 species
GACGAACGCUGGCGGCGUGCUUAACACAUGCAAGUCGAACGCAGAAGCUUGGUGCUUGCACUGGGUGGAUGAGUGGCGAACGGGUGAGUAAUACGUGAGUAACCUGCCCUUGACUCUGGGAUAAGCCUGGGAAACUGGGUCUAAUACUGGAUACGACAUGCCACUGCAUGGUGGUGUGUGGAAAGGGUUUUACUGGUUUUGGAUGGGCUCACGGCCUAUCAGCUUGUUGGUGGGGUAAUGGCCUACCAAGGCGACGACGGGUAGCCGGCCUGAGAGGGUGACCGGCCACACUGGGACUGAGACACGGCCCAGACUCCUACGGGAGGCAGCAGUGGGGAAUAUUGCACAAUGGGCGGAAGCCUGAUGCAGCGACGCCGCGUGAGGGAUGACGGCCUUCGGGUUGUAAACCUCUUUCAGCACGGAAGAAGCGAGAGUGACGGUACGUGCAGAAGAAGCGCCGGCUAACUACGUG